CAGAAAGCCAACAGAGCCACUCAAACAGUAUUGUGACUGAGACAAUAUCUAUGUUGACUUUUUAACCGACAUUCCAAACUAUAAAAUUAUAAAAAUCCAUACUUAUUAAAAGAACGUAUUUGAGUUUUCCAAAGUUUGAGGAACUCUGCUUAGGAGCCUGUGAGGUGGUUCUGUCAUUUGUGAAAGCCAACAGAGGUCUCAGGCCUCCCGGCAAUGCGCAUGUCUCCAAGCCGAAGGACUUGAUCUAACCACAGUGAGGCUUCUUCAGCUCCCAUUCUUAUAUAAAAUCGCUGAACAUUGGCCGAAGUUUUUCUGAAGCCCCUCAAGCCUCAGAGUGAAGAAGGGAGGGAAUGCUGGAUAAAAAUAGACUGGCCAACCUGUUCAUAUCAGGACAAAGAGGACAUGAUCGAUAGUAGAUUGUCCUCCAUCCUUGCAGUUACCCACAUAUGUUGAACUUGAUUGACUGAAGAUCAGAACUCCAAGAUGUGGCUGUGUGGGGUACAGAUUCCCAAGGCUCUCUGCAGAUCCACCAAGAACCUCCUUUGGAAGGAAUUUGGAAAACAACUUGAAGCAUGUGCUCUCCUCAGAAAACAGAUGCCCCUGAGUGCCUGGAGACAGGGCAAAUCUGGAAUGUCUGGUGACUGGCUGGCUGUCAAAGGAUGAGGGGAAAAGCUCAAAGGGUCCUCUGAAGAUCAAAACUGAAGCAACAGGAGACCCCAUCUGAUGGUAGCAAUUAAAGUCGACAAAUUGUUCAACACCUAACUUACGUGUCUAUGCUUUUACCAAUAACAAAUAACAAAUGAAAAUAAGGAAUACGUGAAUAUACAGGAAUAACAGAGCAGAAAACAAGUCUUUCCCGACACUCGUCAUCUGUCAAGUGCAGGUCCAGGACAGAGAGUGGAAGUCUGGGGAGGAGCGGGACAACAGCAUAAAAGUCCAAGUACUAAGGGGGAAAUUACGACUUACAGGUGGAGACAUUGAACAGACACUGACUUGACCGGGUGCUUGUGGUGAACAUCACCAGCGCUUGCUACACCCAGACAGGAGGGCACUACCAUUCCCAAGGGUUUCCUGCAAAGAACGCAUGGUUCAACAUUAGCCUGACCAGGCAUGGGCAUUCUUGCAAAGACAGACUCUGAAAGUUAAAAAAGACUCAGGAAAAGAUUGGUGAGACUUGAAAGCAAAAUGUUUUGGACAGUUCUGUAACUCAGAGCCAGAAAAGAGACAAUAUUGGAGCAGUUUACAAAAUACACUAGAUAUGUGACUUAGGUGACAGUGACCUAAGGGAGUGUCCUACAUGGCUUUUUGUCAGACAAGAUCUAGAAGAACCUCACUGGAGAAAAUGCCUCUAUCAGACUGCCUACAGCAAAGCCUGUAGAGCAUUUCUUGAUUGGUGAUUAAUGUGGGAAGACCCAGAUCACCGUGGGUGGUGCACUCUUGGGCAGGUGAUCCUGAGUUGUACAAAAAAGAAAACUGGCCAAGUCAUGGGGCACAAGCCAGUAAACAGCAUUUCUCCAUGAUCUCUACUUCAGUUCCGGCCUCCAUGCUCCUGUUUGAGGUCCUGCCCUGACUUCCCUAAGUGAUGGAUUAUGACCUGAGAGUGGUGAACUGAAAUAAACCUUUUCCUUCCCAAGUUACUUUUGGCCAUGGUGUUUAUCAUAGCAAUAGAAAGCAAGCUAAGACAAGGUUCAUUUAGUGAUUGGUUACAUGGCCACACACUAACUUUAGGGGAACCCACACUGGAAAUGUAUAGCUACAUAGUAACAUCAAAUGGCUUAGAAGACUGAUG
rnacentral:lncRNA from 1 species